rnacentral:rRNA from 1 species
CUUUUUGGAGAGUUUGAUCCUGGCUCAGGACGAACGCUGGCGGCGUGCCUAAUACAUGCAAGUCGAGCGAACUUGAUGGGAGCUUGCUCCUUGAUAGUUAGCGGCGGACGGGUGAG